CGCGGCCCGAGUGGUGCUCAUUAUUAUUGAGCUUAAAGCGUCCGUAGCCGGCCUUGUAAAUCUUUGGGUAAAUCGGGCAGCUCAACUGUUCGAAUUCCGAGGAGACUGCAAGGCUCGGGACCGGGAGAGGUUCGAGGUACUCCGGGGGUAGGGGUAAAAUCCUGUAAUCCUCAGAGGACCACCAGUGGCGAAGGCGUCGAACUAGAACGGAUCCGACGGUGAGGGACGAAGCCCUGGGGCGCAAACGG
rnacentral:rRNA from 1 species